rnacentral:rRNA from 1 species
UACGACUACAUAUCAGGCAUAUCAAUAAGCGGAGGAAAAGAAACUAACAAGGAUUCCCUAGUAACGGCGAGUGAAGCGGGAAGAGCUCAAAUUUGAAAUCUUAAAGGAUUGUACCUUGACGAAUUGUAGUUUAUAAGAAGUGUUUUCUGUUAGAGUUUCGGUAGCAAAAGUUCCUUGGAAUGGGACAUCAUAGAGGGUGAGAAUCCCGUAUUUGGUUAUUCAUUCUAGCUUUGUGAUACACUUUCAAAGAGUCGGAUUGUUUGGGAAUGCAGUCCAAGAUGGGUGGUAAAUUUCAUCUAAAGCUAAAUAUUGGCGAGAGACCGAUAGCGAACAAGUACCGUGAGGGAAAGAUGAAAAGAACUUUGAAAAGAGAGUUAAACAGUACGUGAAAUUGUCAAAAGGGAAGCGUUUGACACCAGUGUUGUUUUUCCGAAAAUCAAUUACGAAUGGCUUGAUUUUGUGUUGUAUUGACCUUAUCAGCUUUCUUCACUUUUUUCGAGUCUUUCUUAAUGCACUUUUCGGUUAACAAGUCAACAUCAAUUUCUUUUGUUGUAAAAGAGUAUUCGGAAGGUGGCUUUCUUUUCGGAGAAAGUGUUUAUAGCCCUAUACUUCUACAAUCGGAGAGAUUGAGGUCUGCAGCGUAGAUCCUUCGGGGUUAGAUACACUUGUGCUAAGUUGUAGCUUUUCAUAGACAACUUGUUGACUAUGUUUAGUCAUGCGGCUUACUCGCUUGUGCUAUUUUACCUACGCUUAGGAUGUUGAGUAGCGACAUACGCAC